rnacentral:rRNA from 1 species
GAGAAACGCUGGCGGCGUGCAUAACACAUUCAAGUCGAACGGGAAUCUUGGGAUUGAGGCUUCGGCCGAUUGAACAAGAGGAUAGUGGCGGACGGGUGAGUAACGCGUGAGCAACCUGCCCUUUUGUUCGGGAUAACGUUUGGAAACGGACGCUAAUACCGAAUGACGUGUUGAGAUUGCAUGGUCUUAACACCAAAGAUUUAUUGCAGAAGGAUGGGCUCGCGUCUGAUUAGGUAGUUGGUGGGGUAACGGCCUACCAAGCCGACGAUCAGUAGCCGGACUGAGAGGUUGAACGGCCACAUUGGAACUGAGAUACGGUCCAGACUCCUACGGGAGGCAGCAGUGGGGAAUAUUGGGCAAUGGGCGAAAGCCUGACCCAGCGACGCCGCGUGAGGGAAGACGGUCUUCGGAUUGUAAACCUUUGUUGACAGGGACGAACAAAUGACGGUACCUGUCGAGGAAGCCACGGCUAACUACGUG